rnacentral:rRNA from 1 species
CCCUUAGAUGUUCUGGGCAGCACGCGCGCUACAAUGGUCUUCGCAAACGGAUGCAUUCUCGAAGGAGAAUGCCAAUCUUGGAAUCUAUGCCUUGGUCCGGACAGUUGCUUGCAAUUUUUCGACUCGAACCAGGAAUUCCUUGUAAUCGUGAUUCAUCACAUCACGAUGAAUACGUCCCUGCCCUUUGUACACACCGCCCGUCGCUCCUACCGAUCGAAGAGUUAGGUGAAUUGUUUUGAUCGAUAAGAUUUGACUAUGGUCAACUCUCGUUGUGAAAUUCUGUGAAUCUGACUGUUUAGAGGAAGGAAAAGUCGUAACA